rnacentral:rRNA from 1 species
CGCAGCCGCGGUAAUACGUAGGUGGCAAGCGUUGUCCGGAAUUAUUGGGCGUAAAGGGCUCGCAGGCGGUUUCUUAAGUCUGAUGUGAAAGCCCCCGGCUCAACCGGGGAGGGUCAUUGGAAACUGGGAAACUUGAGUGCAGGAGAGGAGAGUGGAAUUCCACGUGUAGCGGUGAAAUGCGUAGAGAUGUGGAGGAACACCAGUGGCGAAGGCGACUCUCUGGUCUGUAACUGACGCUGAGGAGCGAAAGCGUGGGGAGCGAACAGGAUUAGAUACCCGGGUAGUCCCUGUCUCUUAUACA